rnacentral:rRNA from 1 species
AGUGAACGCUGGCGGUAGGCCUAACACAUGCAAGUCGAACGGCAGCACAGUAAGAGCUUGCUCUUACGGGUGGCGAGUGGCGGACGGGUGAGGAAUACAUCGGAAUCUACUUUUUCGUGGGGGAUAACGUAGGGAAACUUACGCUAAUACCGCAUACGACCUACGGGUGAAAGCAGGGGAUCUUCGGACCUUGCGCGAUUGAAUGAGCCGAUGUCGGAUUAGCUAGUUGGCGGGGUAAAGGCCAACCAAGGCGACGAUCCGUAGCUGGUCUGAGAGGAUGAUCAGCCACACUGGAACUGAGACACGGUCCAGACUCCUACGGGAGGCAGCAGUGGGGAAUAUUGGACAAUGGGCGCAAGCCUGAUCCAGCCAUACCGCGUGGGUGAAGAAGGCCUUCGGGUUGUAAAGCCCUUUUGUUGGGAAAGAAAAGCAGCAGGUUAAUACCCCGCUGUUCUGACGGUACCCAAAGAAUAAGCACCGGCUAACUUCGUGC